UUUUUGCUGUUUAGUGCUAUAUAGGUUUAGCGAUAGGUUUAGUUAGCUUAGUUAGUUAGGUUAGUUAGCUUAAUAGAAAGAAUAGGAAGAAGAAGAAGAGGAGGAGGAGGAGAAGAGGAGAAGAGGAGGAGGAGGAGAAGAAGAAGAAGAAGAAGAAGAAGAAGAAGAAGAAGAGGAGGAGGAGGGGAAGACAAAAAUAAGAAGGAGAAGAAGAAGAAG
rnacentral:lncRNA from 1 species